rnacentral:lncRNA from 1 species
CAGCCAUAAGCACAUCGUCCCCAGAGGCACCGAGGAGCCAGGGAGCCUGCAUCUGACGGAUGAUGUUGGGCCGGGGCAGCUUCCUCCUGGUCCUGCCCGCCUCCCCUGCCCACUGGUCACAUGGGGGACCGGGGGCAGGGCCAAGGCCCCCGCCACAGGGUUAGCAGAGGGGGCAGGGAGCCCGAGCGCUCCCUCCAGGCUGUGUCCGAGGAAGGAUCCCAGGCCGGCCUCUGGGCGGCAGAGACGGCGGUGUCCUCCCCGGGUCCCAGCAAUGGAACAAAAAGCUACACUGUUAGCAGCCGGAGUACAAGGCUGAGGGUCUGCCACUGGGGCUGUGGGGACUUCUCUCCGUGCAGGUAUGGGGACCAUGUCCUUGGUCUCCCCAUGGGCAGGACUGUGGCACACACCAGAUGGGAGUCACAGACAGCAUCCUGGCAAUCUCUGCAUGCUUGCCAGUCAUUGUCUGUAGCCACUUUCUAGGCUGUGUGGGAAACACAGCUCCUUCUG